GUGCCAGCCGCCGCGGUAAUACGGGGGGUGCGAGCGUUAAUCGGAUUUAUUGGGCGUAAAGGGGGCCUAGGCGGCCAAGUAAGUCAGGGGUGAAAUCUCCACGGCUUACCCGGGAAAAUGCCUUUGAUACUGCUUGGCUCGAGUUCGGACUAGGGAAGCGGAAUUCCGUGUGUAGCGGUGAAAUGCGUAGAUAUACGGAGGAACACCAGUGGCGAAGGCGGCUUCCUGGGCCGAUACUGACGCUGAAGCCCGAAAGCGUGGGGAGCGAACGGGAUUGGAUACCCCGGUAGUCCACGCCCUAAACGUUGCGCACUAGGUGUUGGGAGUAUCGACCCUCCCAGUGCCGCCGCUAACGCAUUAAGUGCGCCGCCUGGGGAGUACGGUCGCAAGACUGAA
rnacentral:rRNA from 1 species